CCUACGGGAGGCAGCAGUAGGGAAUCUUUCACAAUGGGCGAAAGCCUGAUGGAGCAACGCCGCGUGCAGGAUGAAGGCCUUCGGGUUGUAAACUGCUUUUGUCAGGGAGCAAUUGAGUCCACGUGUGGGCUUAGCGAGAGUACCUGAAGAAAAAGCAUCGGCUAACUCCGUGCCAGCAGCCGCGGUAAUACGGAGGAUGCGAGCGUUAUCCGGAUUUAUUGGGUUUAAAGGGUGCGUAGGCGGAAUAUCAAGUCAGCGGUAAAAAUUCGGGGCUCAACCCCGUCGUGCCGUUGAAACUGAUGUUCUUGAGUGGGCGAGAAGUAUGCGGAAUGCGUGGUGUAGCGGUGAAAUGCAUAGAUAUCACGCAGAACUCCGAUUGCGAAGGCAGCAUACCGGCGCCCAACUGACGCUGAAGCACGAAAGCGUGGGUAUCGAACAGGAUUAGAUACCCGUGUAGUC
rnacentral:rRNA from 1 species